rnacentral:rRNA from 1 species
GACGAACGCUGGCGGCGUGCUUAACACAUGCAAGUCGAACGGAAAGGCCCUGCUUUUGUGGGGUGCUCGAGUGGCGAACGGGUGAGUAACACGUGAGUAACCUGCCCUUGACUUUGGGAUAACUUCAGGAAACUGGGGCUAAUACCGGAUAGGAGCUCCUGCUGCAUGGUGGGGGUUGGAAAGUUUCGGCGGUUGGGGAUGGACUAGCGGCUUAUCAGCUUGUUGGUGGGGUAGUGGCUUACCAAGGCUUUGACGGGUAGCCGGCCUGAGAGGGUGACCGGCCACCUUGGGACUGAGAGACGGCCCAGACUCCUACGGGAGGCAGCAGUGGGGAAUAUGGCACAAUGGGCGGAAGCCUGAUGCAGCAACGCCGCGUGCGGGAUGACGGCCUUCGGGUUGUAAACCGCUUUCGCCUGUGACGAAGCGUGAGUGACGGUAAUGGGUAAAGAAGCACCGGCUAACUACGUG